rnacentral:pre_miRNA from 1 species
GGCGGGUGUCCAUAGCUGCGUAAGGACUAUAGUCCUUACGCAGCUGCGUAAGGACUAUAGUCCUUACGCAGCUAUGGACACCCGCC